CCUACGGGUGGCUGCAGUGGGGAAUAUUGCACAAUGGGCGCAAGCCUGAUGCAGCCAUGCCGCGUGUGUGAAGAAGGCCUUCGGGUUGUAAAGCACUUUCAGCGGGGAGGAAGGCGUUAAGGUUAAUAACCUUGUCGAUUGACGUUACCCGCAGAAGAAGCACCGGCUAACUCCGUGCCAGCAGCCGCGGUAAUACGGAGGGUGCAAGCGUUAAUCGGAAUUACUGGGCGUAAAGCGCACGCAGGCGGUCCGUCAAGUCGGAUGUGAAAUCCCCGGGCUCAACCUGGGAACUGCAUUCGAAACUGGCAGGCUAGAGUCUUGUAGAGGGGGGUAGAAUUCCAGGUGUAGCGGUGAAAUGCGUAGAGAUCUGGAGGAAUACCGGUGGCGAAGGCGGCCCCCUGGACAAAGACUGACGCUCAGGUGCGAAAGCGUGGGGAGCAAACAGGAUUAGAUACCCGUGUAGUC
rnacentral:rRNA from 1 species